CACACACACACACAGUCAGAUCUCAGUAAACAAGCUGGUGAGCAGGACGUCAGCAGGGACUCACAGGAGCAGAGAUGGGUUUGGAGAGGAAGGUGGACGUCCCGGUCUAUGAUCUGUCUCUGAUCAGGGGGAUCUGGGAGGUCCGGGUGAAGAAACACAGACAGAAACAGAAGAAGGAGCAGGACAGGAUCGAGAAGAGCGCCCUCGCCAAGAUCGACCAGGCGUGGCAGUACCGCAUCUACUGCAAGACUCUGAAGACCACUGAACGCAACCUGCUGCAUCAUUACCUGGAGAGAGAGAACCUGAUUGAUAUACAGCCCUGCACAGAAGGGGAGCAACAGGAUCAGCAGGAUCAGAAGGAUUCGAAGGAGAACAAGCUGAUCUUCCAGCUGAAUGGAGAUCGUUGGAUGAACUUCCCCAAGGAGCUGCAAUGGAUGACCUACCUGAAAGAGUGGCACGUCAGGGGGACAAGGAUCAGUCGGCUGCCCGAAUACCUGGCUCUGUUCACCCAGCUCACCGUGCUCGAGAUCCCCAAAAACACCAUAGCCGAGCUGCCACCUGAGAUCGGUAAGCUGACGGAGUUGAAGGAACUAAACGUCAGCUACAACCGUCUGUCCAGGGUUCCUCCAGAACUCGGAAACUGUGAGAACCUGAAGAGACUCGAACUCACAGGAAACCUGAAUCUGUCCGAGCUGCCGUUUGAGCUGAGCAGCCUGAAGCAGCUCGUCCACCUGGACGUCGCAGAGAACAAGUUUGUGUCGAUCCCGAUCUGCGCUCUGAGGAUGAGCGGCCUGCAGCUGCUGGACCUGAGCAACAACAGUCUGACUGACCUGCCGCAGGACAUGGACAGGCUGGAGCAGCUGGUCACUCUGUUCGUCCAUAAGAACAACCUGUCUUACCUCCCUCACUGUCUCAGCAACAUCUCCACGCUCAAGAUGAUCGUCGUCAGUGGCGACGAGCUCAACUGCAUCCCGACCAGACUGUGCAGGAACCCCGACAUCAAGUUCAUUCGACUGUACGACAACCCACUGAGUGAAGCGAAGAGGAAGGAGGAGGAGAAGAAGAAGGAGGAGAACAAGAGGAGGAGGUGGAGAGAGCAGAGAGAGGAGGCGAAGGACAGCAGAGAGAAGGAGUUCAUCGAGGCCUACGUCAGCUCGCUGAAGGACAGAGACACCGUCCCCUACUCCACCACCAAGGUCUCCAUCUCCUGCCUGCUGUGAGGAAGAGGAGGAUGAAGACGAUGAAGGUGGAGCUGACAGUCUGUCACCACGCGAGCGACUGAAGGAGAAUUAGACUCAGAGACGACGUCUGCUCGCUUCAAUGGAAACUGCUCCGACAGGUCUUCAUCGAGUUUGACGAUCGACUGGCGCCCUCUUCCUCUGCUGUGGUUUCAUGCUUCUCUGACUGGAGAAAUGGCGCCACCUACUGCUCAUCUCGAGGGAAAACUCCUGAUAAUUACAUAACCGUAGUGGAUGGAAACAUUCAUUCACAUUUAUUUUUUUUUGCUGAUUUUCUUGAAAUUCAGUUAACACGUGUGAUUCAUUUGUAUGGAAACCAACCGAAUGUGUCACGACAGGGAGAGAGUGCAUCAGAAUGUCGACUUUCAGAGUUAAAAUUCUGAGAUUUUAGGUGAAAAGUCAAAUUUAGAGCAAAUAAAAUGAAAAAGUGAAUGAAAUUAGUUGCAUUCUGAAAUGAGCGUACGAGACAUGAAGCCAAAAAACUUCUGUUCUUUCCCAGAAUUUCGAUAUUGGAUUUUUACUUUUGUCAUUUUUAAUAAUUCAUCUAUUCUUUUCCUUCUUUGGCAGGAAUGACCUUCCGUAUGUUUAAGCUGAUGUUUUGUUCCUUUAUUUCAGGACUUUCUCUUUUGAAAGUCAUCAUCUUGGCCGGCUCGCUCUUCUAAAAGAGGUUUUAAUCUCAGUCACAUUGAUCAGAUCUGACAGAUUUGAGUGUUUUCAAAUAUGAAAAUAACUUUUUUCAUUCCAAAAUCAGAUUUCCAACAUUUAAACAUGUUAUAUUUAUGAGCAUAUCAUCACAUAUUAUUAAAACACCAGGUCAGACAUGAAGGUUCACUGCUUCAUCAUGAGCCAUGUGUUCAGAAACAGUCCAUUCAUUUACUCUUUCAUGUUUUAGAAGUAUUGAUCCUUGAUGAUCAGGUCUUUGAUGCCUGAUGGAUGUAGAUAACGUCUGGUCUGUGCAGUGAGAUGAUUUCCAUUUAUUUCCUCCACAUGAACUGAACAUGUUUGGGAUAAACUGGACUUUAUGGCUGAAGGUGUGAAAGUUGUGACCAAAGAGAAACGAGGCUGAACGUCGAGUAAAAGCUUCAUCGGGUGAAAGUUUAAACUCUGCGGGGAAUUUCUUCUUUUUAAAGCGGAGCUGCAGUCACUAAGAAAUGUAAAUAUAACAAAGGUUUAGAUUCAUUUUAAAAAGCGAUUGUGGGUUAUGAUUCGUUUCUGCUUUCAAAUGUUUGAGUACAAAUUUUUAUUCCUUAUUUGGCCAAAAAUCUUCAAAAUGAAGAGAAAUGUUUUUACUUUUAUUAGUAUUUCCUGUGUUUUUGUGUGUGACGCAUCGUGUCUGUUUCUAUUGUGACAUUUUUUCAUUUCAAUAAAUGUCUGAAG